UACAGAGGUCUCAAGCGUUGUUCGGAUUCAUUGGGCGUAAAGGGUGCGUAGGCGGCGCGGUAAGUCGGGUGUGAAAUCUCGGAGCUUAACUCCGAAACUGCAUUCGAUACUGCCGUGCUUGAGGACUGGAGAGGAGACUGGAAUUUACGGUGUAGCGGUGAAAUGCGUAGAUAUACGAAGGAACGCCAAAAGCGAAGGCAGCUCUCUGGGUCCCUACCGACGCUGGGGUGCGAAAGCAUGGGGAGCGAACAGG
rnacentral:rRNA from 1 species